AUGAGAACUACAGCAUGACAAAGGUCAGGAAGCGCUGCCUAAGUCAUCUGGUGAAAGAGGAUGCAAAUGCCACCAAGGAGCUCCAAUUCUGGGCCCCAAAGAGUCAUUAACUGCUGUUCCCUGGAUCCCAGAGUUUUGACUGCACAGAACAGCAAAGAAGAAACCAGAAGUCGGGCUCCAUCCAGUUCCUCACCUGGGUGGAUGAGGCCAGCACCUGAUUGUUUUAGGCUGAGUAGGCUCCUGAAGCUGAGAGCUGAUAAGAGACAUUGAUCUAGGGUUUGCAACUCUCUCUGGUUUCCCGAAGCUGUUUCUCACAGGGCAGGGAGAAGAGGAAUCUGCCAGCCUUUGGAUCAGCGUCUGUCCCAUGGGCAAAGCCUUUAUCCAGCAAGAAGCCAGCUGUGUGGCAAGCAAUGGAGGCACAAACAGGUGUUUAGAAGAGACGUAUGUAAUUGGCUUGGAGAGGAUCCGGUGGCCUCCGAGACAGCCUAG
rnacentral:lncRNA from 1 species